AGAGUUUGAUCAUGGCUCAGAGCGAACGUUAGCGGCAGGCUUAACACAUGCAAGUCGCGCGAGAAUGGAGGAGCAAUCCUCCUAGUAAAGCGGCGGACGGGUGAGUAACACGUGGGUAAUGUGCCCUUCAGCAGGGGAUAACCAGCCGAAAGGCUGGCUAAUACCGCAUACGUCGGCGAGGUCUCCGGACCUCGUCGGGAAAGGUGGCCUCUCCAUGGAAGCUACCACUGAAGGAGCAGCCCGCGUCCCAUCAGCUAGUUGGCGGGGUAACGGCCCACCAAGGCAAAGACGGGUAGCUGGUCUGAGAGGAUGAUCAGCCACACUGGAACUGAGACACGGUCCAGACUCCUACGGGAGGCAGCAGUGGGGAAUAUUGGGCAAUGGGCGCAAGCCUGACCCAGCCAUGCCGCGUGAGUGAUGAAGGCCUUCGGGUCGUAAAGCUCUGUGGGGAGGGACGAAACAACCUGGUGAUAACACCGCCGGGUCUUGACGGUACCUCCUUAGCAAGCACCGGCUAACUCCGUGCCAGCAGCCGCGGUAAUACGGAGGGUGCAAACGUUGCUCGGAAUCAUUGGGCGUAAAGCGCACGUAGGCGGCCUGUUAAGUCGGGUGUGAAAUCCCUCGGCUCAACCGAGGGAGUGCAUUCGAAACUGGCAGGCUUGAAUGUGGAAGAGGGUCGUGGAAUUCCCGGUGUAGAGGUGAAAUUCGUAGAUAUCGGGAGGAACACCAGUGGCGAAAGCGGCGACCUGGGCCAACAUUGACGCUGAGUGCGAAAGCGUGGGGAGCAAACGGGAUUAGAUACCCUGGUAGUCCACGCCGUAACGAUGGAUGCUAGUGUUGGGGGUAUUGACCCCUCCAGUGCCGCAGUUAACGCAUUAGCAUCCCGCCUGGGGAGUACGGCCGCAAGGCUAAACUCAAAGGAAUUGACGGGGCCCGCACAAGCGU
rnacentral:rRNA from 1 species